CCUUGCUGUGUAACCCGAAGUGUGCUGUGUGACUAACAGGUCCUGGGCUCAGAUUUCAGAGCCAGCUCUUCCUUCUGAGGGUUACCAUAGCCCUCAGUCCUGACCGGAACAGAUCAGGACUCCAGGAGUUUUCUCUCUAACAUCCCAACCCGGAGGAAUCUUCUAAUUCCCAAGUCUUUGGCGGAAGUUAUUGAUUUUAAUGAAGUCCAACAUCAACUUUUUCAUGGAUCAUGCUUUUGGUGUUGUAUCUGAAAUGUCAUUAGCAAACCCAAGGUCCCAGCGCCAUGCCUGCACAGAGGCUGGAUGGGGUGCGACCUG